rnacentral:rRNA from 1 species
CGCACUGGGAUGAUCAGUACGGCGAGUGAAGCGGCAAGAGCUCAAAUUUGAAAGCUGGCCCCUUCGGGGUCCGCGUUGUAAUUUGCAGAGGAUGCUUCGGGUGCAGCCCCCGUCUAAGUGCCCUGGAACGGGCCGUCAUAGAGGGUGAGAAUCCCGUCUGGGACGGGGUGUCUGCGUCCGUGUGAAGCUCCUUCGACGAGUCGAGUUGUUUGGGAAUGCAGCUCUAAAUGGGUGGUAAAUUUCAUCUAAAGCUAAAUACUGGCCGGAGACCGAUAGCGCACAAGUAGAGUGAUCGAAAGAUGAAAAGCACUUUGAAAAGAGAGUUAAACAGCACGUGAAAUUGUUGAAAGGGAAGCGUUUGCGACCAGACUCGCCCGCGGGGUUCAGCCGGCAUUCGUGCCGGUGUACUUCCCCGUGGGCGGGCCAGCGUCGGUUUGGGCGGCCGGUCAAAGGCCCUCGGAAUGUAUCACCUCUCGGGGUGUCUUAUAGCCGAGGGUGCAAUGCGGCCUGCCUGGACCGAGGAACGCGCUUCGGCUCGGACGCUGGCGUAAUGGUCGUAAAUGACCCGUCUUGAAAACCGGGACCAAA